AUUGAACGCUGGCGGCAGGCCUAACACAUGCAAGUCGAGCGAGCGGCGGACGGGUGAGUAAUGUAUGGGGACUGCCCGAUAGAGGGGGAUAACUACUGGAAACGGUAGCUAAUACAGCAUACUAUCGGAUAACCCAUAUGGGAUUAGCUAGUAGGUGAGGUAAUGGCUCACCUAGGCGAUGAUCCCUAGCUGGUCUGAGAGGAUGAUCAGCCACGCUGGGACGGAGACACGGCCCAGACUCCUCCGGAGGCAGCAGUGGGGAAUAUGGCACGAGGGGCGCAAGCCUGAUGCAGCCAUGCCGCGUGUAUGAAGGAGGACCGAGGGUUGAAAAGUACUUUCAGUCGGGAGGCGUUACCGACAGAAGAAGCACCGGCUAACUCCGUGCCAGCCGCCGCGGUAAUAC
rnacentral:rRNA from 1 species